rnacentral:rRNA from 1 species
ACGGAGGUUGCGAGCGUUGUUCGGAAUAACUGGGCGUAAAGGGAGCGCAGGCGGUCUGGUUUGUCCGGAGUGAAAGCCCGGGGCUUAACCUCGGAAGCGCUUUAGAUACUACCAGACUUGAGUACGGAAGAGGAGAGUGGAAUUCCAGGUGUAGCGGUGAAAUGCGUAGAUAUCUGGAGGAACACCGGUGGCGAAAGCGGCUCUCUGGUCCGAUACUGACGCUCAUGCUCGAAAGCGUGGGGAGCAAACGG